GAUGAACGCUAGCUACAGGCUUAACACAUGCAAGUCGAGGGGAAACGGCGUUGAGUGCUUGCACUGAAUGGACGUCGACCGGCGCACGGGUGAGUAACGCGUAUCCAACCUUCCCAUAACUAAGGGAUAACCUGCCGAAAGGCAGACUAAUACCUUAUGUAAUUCUUAGAUGACAUCAGAAGAGAAUGAAAGAUUUAUCGGUUAUGGAUGGGGAUGCGUCUGAUUAGCUUGUUGGCGGGGUAACAGCCCACCAAGGCAACGAUCAGUAGGGGUUCUGAGAGGAAGGUCCCCCACAUUGGAACUGAGACACGGUCCAAACUCCUACGGGAGGCAGCAGUGAGGAAUAUUGGUCAAUGGGCGAGAGCCUGAACCAGCCAAGUAGCGUGCAGGAUGACGGCCCUAUGGGUUGUAAACUGCUUUUGUAUGGGGAUAAAGUCAAUCACGUGUGAUUGUUUGCAGGUACCAUACGAAUAAGGACCGGCUAAUUCCGUGCCAGCAGCCGCGGUAAUACGGAAGGUUCGGGCGUUAUCCGGAUUUAUUGGGUUUAAAGGGAGCGUAGGCCGGAGAUUAAGUGUGUUGUGAAAUGUAGACGCUCAACGUCUGACUUGCAGCGCAUACUGGUUUCCUUGAGUACGCACAACGUUGGCGGAAUUCGUCGUGUAGCGGUGAAAUGCUUAGAUAUGACGAAGAACUCCGAUUGCGAAGGCAGCUGACGGGAGCGCCACUGACGCUUAAGCUCGAAGGUGCGGGUAUCGAACAGG
rnacentral:rRNA from 1 species